GGGUUGUGAGGUUAAGCGACUAAGCGUACACGGUGGAUGCCCUGGCAGUCAGAGGCGAUGAAGGGCGUGCUAAUCUGCGAUAAGCGCCGGUAAGGUGAUAUGAACCGUUAUAACCGGCGAUACCCGAAUGGGGAAACCCAGUGUGAUUCGUCACACUAUCAUUAACUGAAUCCAUAGGUUAAUGAGGCGAACCGGGGGAACUGAAACAUCUAAGUACCCCGAGGAAAAGAAAUCAACCGAGAUUCCCCCAGUAGCGGCGAGCGAACGGGGAGGAGCCCAGAGCCUGAAUCAGCAUGUGUGUUAGUGGAAGCGUCUGGAAAGGCGCGCGAUACAGGGUGACAGCCCCGUACACAAAAGCGCAUGUGCUGUGAGCUCGAUGAGUAGGGCGGGACACGUGAUAUCCUGUCUGAAUAUGGGGGGACCAUCCUCCAAGGCUAAAUACUCCUGACUGACCGAUAGUGAACCAGUACCGUGAGGGAAAGGCGAAAAGAACCCCGGCGAGGGGAGUGAAAAAGAACCUGAAACCGUGUACGUACAAGCAGUGGGAGCACCCUUCGGGGUGUGACUGCGUACCUUUUGUAUAAUGGGUCAGCGACUUAUAUUCUGUAGCAAGGUUAACCGAAUAGGGGAGCCGGAGGGAAACCGAGUCUUAACCGGGCGUUAAGUUGCAGGGUAUAGACCCGAAACCCGGUGAUCUAGCCAUGGGCAGGUUGAAGGUUGGGUAACACUAACUGGAGGACCGAACCGACUAAUGUUGAAAAAUUAGCGGAUGACCUGUGGCUGGGGGUGAAAGGCCAAUCAAACCGGGAGAUAGCUGGUUCUCCCCGAAAGCUAUUUAGGUAGCGCCUCGUGAAUUCAUCUCCGGGGGUAGAGCACUGUUUCGGCUAGGGGGCCAUCCCGGCUUACCAACCCGAUGCAAACUGCGAAUACCGGAGAAUGUUAUCACGGGAGACACACGGCGGGUGCUAACGUCCGUCGUGAAGAGGGAAACAACCCAGACCGCCAGCUAAGGUCCCAAAGUCAUGGUUAAGUGGGAAACGAUGUGGGAAGGCCCAGACAGCCAGGAUGUUGGCUUAGAAGCAGCCAUCAUUUAAAGAAAGCGUAAUAGCUCACUGGUCGAGUCGGCCUGCGCGGAAGAUGUAACGGGGCUAAACCAUGCACCGAAGCUGCGGCAGCGAACGUAUCACUUAAAGCGAUUCAGCGGGUUACGAUUGACGGAGCGAAGCGACGUCAAAGCGUAUACAAAGUCGAGUCGGUUUAAGGAUACGUUCGUUGGGUAGGGGAGCGUUCUGUAAGCCUGUGAAGGUGUGUCGUGAGGCAUGCUGGAGGUAUCAGAAGUGCGAAUGCUGACAUAAGUAACGAUAAAGCGGGUGAAAAGCCCGCUCGCCGGAAGACCAAGGGUUCCUGUCCAACGUUAAUCGGGGCAGGGUGAGUCGACCCCUAAGGCGAGGCCGAAAGGCGUAGUCGAUGGGAAACGGGUUAAUAUUCCCGUACUUGGUGUUACUGCGAAGGGGGGACGGAGAAGGCUAUGUUGGCCGGGCGACGGUUGUCCCGGUUUAAGCGUGUAGGUGUGUGUUCCAGGUAAAUCCGGUUCACUUUAACACUGAGGCGUGACGACGAGGCACUACGGUGCUGAAGCAACAAAUGCCCUGCUUCCAGGAAAAGCCUCUAAGCAUCAGGUAACAUCAAAUCGUACCCCAAACCGACACAGGUGGUCAGGUAGAGAAUACCAAGGCGCUUGAGAGAACUCGGGUGAAGGAACUAGGCAAAAUGGUGCCGUAACUUCGGGAGAAGGCACGCUGACACGUAGGUGAAGUGAUUUACUCAUGGAGCUGAAGUCAGUCGAAGAUACCAGCUGGCUGCAACUGUUUAUUAAAAACACAGCACUGUGCAAACACGAAAGUGGACGUAUACGGUGUGACGCCUGCCCGGUGCCGGAAGGUUAAUUGAUGGGGUCAGCGCAAGCGAAGCUCCUGAUCGAAGCCCCGGUAAACGGCGGCCGUAACUAUAACGGUCCUAAGGUAGCGAAAUUCCUUGUCGGGUAAGUUCCGACCUGCACGAAUGGCGUAAUGAUGGCCAGGCUGUCUCCACCCGAGACUCAGUGAAAUUGAACUCGCUGUGAAGAUGCAGUGUACCCGCGGCAAGACGGAAAGACCCCGUGAACCUUUACUAUAGCUUGACACUGAACAUUGAGCCUUGAUGUGUAG
rnacentral:rRNA from 1 species